ensembl:lncRNA
CCCGAUGCCGAGGCGGUGCCCGAGGCGGUGCCUGAUGCGGUGGCCGAGGCGGUUCCCGAUGCAAUGUCCGAUGCCGAGGCGGUGCCCGAUGCCGAGGCGGUGCCCGAUGCCGAGGCGGUGCCCGAUGCCGAGGCGGUGCCCGUUGCGGUGCCAGAGACGGUGCCAGAGACGGUUCCCGAUGUAAUGCCCGAGACUGAGGCUGUUCUGGAGGUCAGGGCGGUGCCCGAUGCCGUUCUGGAGGCCGAUGCGGGGCCCGAGAUGGUUCCGGAGGCGAUACCCGUGUCCAAGGCCGUUCCCGAGGCGGUGCCCUUGUCUGAGGCCGUUCCCGAUGCCGUUCCCAAUGCCGUGACCUGGCCAUCGCCACAGCCUGCUCCUUACUGGCUCCCCGAUUGGCAGGUUCCAUUCGGGCCACUCAAAUGGCGAAUUCCUCCCUGGCCGUCUGCACAACGAGAAUGGACUGAUCCACCGUGGCCACCUGAACUGCCUGGCCCCUCGUGGUCCCCUGAACUUUCGGGUCCACCGUGGCCACCUGAACUGCCUGGUCCCUCGUGGUCCCCUGAACUUUCGGGUCCACCGUGGCCACCUGAACUGCCUGGUCCCUCGUGGUCCCCUGAACUUUCGGGUCCACCAUGGCCACCUGAUCUGACCAAGCCACCUGGGCUGCCAGGGGAGCCAUCGCUGCCGGUCCCAGUUCCCCUACACGGGCCUGGCCCGCCAUCCCUCCCCCUGUUCUGCCUCCACCAGUCCACCUCCCUCCUGGUCUCUUUGUUUUGUGUUUAUUUGGUUCUGAGGAGCAUCUGGAAGCUGCUCCUUAGAGGGGGGGUAGUGUCACGGUGUCUGUUCUGUGUCUCCCUGGGUGGCCACUAGAGGUCUCACUUCCCCUUAUUGUCACCUUCGUCAGAACUUCAUUUCCCACUAGCCUUAGCUGCUCAUCACUGUUCAUUGUAUUCAGCUGUCACCACUUACCUUGUUUGCACCUGUCUUUAAAUACCCUGGUUGUUUCUGUCAUUGUUACGGAGUCCUUGUUUAAUGUCACCCUGGUUUCGUGUUUCCUUGCUGUGUUCGUGUUUCUUGUUUUGGACUGAUUACCUGGAUUUUGACCAUUGCCUGGCUAAGUUUAUGAUAUUUGGAUUGCCCCAAUAAAACAUACUGCACUUGGAUCUACCUUUUUGUGUGCGUGUCGUGACAC